AGAGACUGUAAGCGUUAUUCGGAUUCACUGGGCGUAAAGGGUGCGCAGGCGGUCGUGUGUGUCAGGUGUGAAAUCCCGGAGCUUAACUCCGGAACUGCGCCUGAAAUUACACGACUAGAGCAUUGGAGAGGGAAGUGGAAUUCAUGGUGUAGCAGUGAAAUGCGUAGAUAUCAUGAGGAACACCAGAGGCGAAGGCGACUUCCUGGACAAUUGCUGACGCUCAGGCACGAAAGCAUGGGGAGCAAAAGGGAUUAGAUACCCCUGUAGUCCAUGCCCUAAACGGUGCACACUAGGUCUUGGAGGAUUCGACCCCUUCAGGGCCCAAGCUAACGCGUUAAGUGUGCCGCCUGAGGACUACGGUCGCAAGACUA
rnacentral:rRNA from 1 species